rnacentral:rRNA from 1 species
UGGGGAAUAUUGGACAAUGGGGGCAACCCUGAUCCAGCGAUGCCGCGUGUGUGAAGAAGGCCUGCGGGUUGUAAAGCACUUUAGUUGGGGAGGAAAGGUAUGUACUGCAUAAGUGCAUGCUGUGACGUUACCCAAAGAAUAAGCACCGGCUAACUCUGUGCCAGCAGCCGCGGUAAUACAGAGGGUGCAAGCGUUAAUCGGAAUUACUGGGCGUAAAGCGCGCGUAGGUGGUUAGUUAAGUUGGAUGUGAAAUCCCCGGGCUCAACCUGGGAACUGCAUUCAAAACUGACUGACUAGAGUAUGGUAGAGGGUGGUGGAAUUUCCUGUGUAGCGGUGAAAUGCGUAGAUAUAGGAAGGAACACCAGUGGCGAAGGCGACCACCUGGACUGAUACUGACACUGAGGUGCGAAAGCGUGGGGAGCAAACAGGAUUAGAUACCCAGGUAGUCCCUGAGCGGGCUGGCAAGGCGCAU